rnacentral:rRNA from 1 species
GAAUUCGCCCUUAGAGUUUGAUCCUGGCUCAGGACUAACGCUGGCGGCGUGCCUAAUACAUGCAAGUCGAACGGUCGUGCGUUUGUAGCAAUAUGGACGUACGAUAGUGGCGAACGGGUGAGUAACACGUGGAAAACCUACCCUCGAGCGGGGGAUAACUCCGGGAAACUGGGGCUAAUACCGCAUGACAUCCCAACCUGGCAUCGGGAGGGGAUCAAAGCCGAAAGGCACUUGAGGAUGGUUCCGCGGCCUAUCAGCUAGUUGGCGGGGUAACGGCCCACCAAGGCGACGACGGGUAGCCGGCCUGAGAGGGCGAUCGGCCACAAGGGGACUGAGACACGGCCCCUACUCCUACGGGAGGCAGCAGUAGGGAAUUUUGCUCAAUGGGGGAAACCCUGAAGCAGCGACGCCGCGUGGGCGACGAAAUCCUUCGGGAUGUAAAGCCCUUUUAACCGGGACGAAAUACAUGACGGUACCGGUGGAAUAAGCCUCGGCUAACUCCGUGCCAGCAGCCGCGGUAAGACGGGGGAGGCAAGCGUUGUCCGGAAUCACUGGGUGUAAAGGGCGUGUAGGCGGGCCGGCUAGUCGGUUGUUAAAUCUCUCCGCUCAACGGAGAAGCUGCGGCCGAUACUUCCGGUCUUGAGUGCGGCAGGGGAGGACGGAAUUCCUGGUGUAGCGGUGAAAUGCGUAGAUAUCAGGAGGAACACCGGUGGCGAAGGCGGUCCUCUGGGCCUGCACUGACGCUGAGUGCGCGAAAGCUGGGGUAGCAAACAGAAUUAGAUACUCUGGUAGUCCCAGCCCUAAACGAUGA